rnacentral:rRNA from 1 species
GAUCAUGGCUCAGGAUGAACGCUAGCUACAGGCUUAACACAUGCAAGUCGAGGGGCAGCAUGGUCUUAGCUUGCUAAGGCCGAUGGCGACCGGCGCACGGGUGAGUAACACGUAUCCAACCUGCCGUCUACUCUUGGACAGCCUUACUGAAAGGAAGAUUAAUACAAGAUGGCAUCAUGAGUUCACAUGUUCACAUGAUUAAAGGUAUUCCGGUAGACGGAUGGGGA